ensembl:lncRNA
GUGCAAGUCAGCCUUAUGCUCUAUUCCCUGAAAAUUAUAAAACUACACAAUUGGAUAAUAAAGUUUGUCAGUCCACUAGAGGCUGUCCCUGAGUGUCCUUUUCAGAGUGCAGUUCUCCGAGCCUUACAACUGGGGCCCAACGUGGGGCUCGAAGCAGCAGACUGAUUUUGAAAAGGGCCGCACUCCUGCAGAAGCGAGAUGAUGGAACCGAGCAGUGGGUCCCACUCAAAAGAGUCAGAAGACCGAUAGACCUUGCUCCACACCCCCUGACCGAUCACAGCACUAAAACAGAAAUUGCAACAGAUGCCUUCUGAGCCUCCUUAUGACAACGUAUCCUGAGAGAAAAAAAUCAUCUGUGCCAGGGAUGGACUGGUCCACCUGCAGAGGAAGGUUUAAAAAAGUUUCUGUUCACGCCAACAUGACUUUGUUGAUUGGGGGCCUCAUGGACUCUUUGUGAAUUGCUCAGAAUCACAAGAAAAUAAUAACACCUGCCAAUGGUAUAAUGUUUCAGCACCACAUUUUAACAGAACACAAACAGGACUCUAGCAUCAACGCAAUGAACUUUUGAACUGGUACAAUGGAAGUCUUUCACCUCCCAGACCCCGGAUAAUCAGUACAGUCCUGGGGCCCGAACACUGGCAUCUUUGGAAAAUUCCUGCUUGCUUGUCCCGGUUUAGUGACUCGUAUGCUUAUGCACAUGUUUCCAUUCCACAUAAUUAUACUAUUGAGUAUAAUUAUACCGGUUAUGUUCAUGCUUGCAUAAAUGCGCCCUAUCUUUUUGCUAUUGGGCAAUUUUGGAGUAAUGGCUCAAUUCUGUCCUGUACUGUCGUUUGUAUACUUGUUUAAAUCUUAAUGUGCCAAUUACUGUUACUAAAGACAGUGUUUUUUCAGUCUGGCAAAGGACUGAUUUGUGGGUUCCAGUUAAGAUUUCUGAACCUUGGUCAGAUUCCAUGUUGUUGUCUUUUGUUCUGAGAGAAUCCCUGAAAAGAAGCUAACGUUUUAUUGGCUGGAUUAUAGCUACCAUAGUGGGUAUUAUUUCAAUUGUAACUGUUGGUACAGUUUCUGGAAUGGCAUUAUAUAAUUCUAUUCAAAAUCAUGAUUUCAUUACUGCUUGGAAAAGGAUUCUCAUGAUCUCUGGGCCCAACAAGCUCAGAUAGAUC